GUGGGGAAUAUUGGACAAUGGGCGCAAGCCUGAUCCAGCCAUGCCGCGUGAGUGAUGAAGGCCCUAGGGUUGUAAAGCUCUUUCACCGGUGAAGAUAAUGACGGUAACCGGAGAAGAAGCCCCGGCUAACUUCGUGUCAGCAGCCGCGGUAAUACGAAGGGGGCUAGCGUUGUUCGGAAUUACUGGGCGUAAAGCGCACGUAGGCGGAUCGUUAAGUCGGGGGUGAAAUCCUGGAGCUCAACUCCAGAACUGCCUUCGAUACUGGCGAUCUUGAGUCCGGAAGAGGUGAGUGGAACUCCUAGUGUAGAGGUGGAAUUCGUAGAUAUUAGGAAGAACACCAGUGGCGAAGGCGGCUCACUGGUCCGGUACUGACGCUGAGGUGCGAAAGCGUGGGGAGCAAACAGGAUUAGAAACCCGGGUAGUCC
rnacentral:rRNA from 1 species